rnacentral:rRNA from 1 species
GACGAACGCUGGCGGCGUGCCUAAUACAUGCAAGUCGAGCGGAAGUUGGAGAGCUUGCUCUUCAACUUUAGCGGCGGACGGGUGAGUAACACGUGGGCAACCUGCCCUGCAGAUCGGGAUAACUCCGGGAAACCGGUGCUAAUACCGAAUAGUUUUCGCCACCUCCUGGUGGCGUACGGAAAGACGGUUUCGGCUGUCACUGCAGGAUGGGCCCGCGGCGCAUUAGCUAGUUGGUGGGGUAACGGCCCACCAAGGCGACGAUGCGUAGCCGACCUGGGAGGGUGAUCGGCCACAAUGGGACUGAGACACUGCCCAGACUCCUACGGGAGGCAGCAGGAGGGAAUCUUCCGCAAUGGACGAAAGUCUGACGGAGCAGCGCCGCGUGAGUGACGAAGGUUUUCGGAUCGUAAAACUCUGUUGUGAGGGAAGAACAAGUACCACUUAACUACUGGUACCUUGACGGUACCUCACCAGAAAGCCACGGCUAACUACGUGCCAGCAGCCGCAGUAAUAC